rnacentral:rRNA from 1 species
GCAUAAUAAUUUGCCCAUUAAUUGUGGGAUAGAAUGAAAGGAAAAAUGAGAGAACAACUCUGUCAUUAACACAAGUAAAAACUAACAUUUAGGUGAAGAGGCCUAAAUACAGCUAAAGGACAAGAAGACCCUAUAGAGCUUUAAUGUAACUAAACAACAUUUAUUCACAUUUCGGUUGGGGCGAUCUAGGAAUAAUCAUCCAAUAAAUAUAGACAUACCUGUCAUAACAAAGAUCCUUAUUAGAUCAUAGAAUCAAGUUACCUUAGGGAUAACAGGCUAAUUUUAUUUUAGAGUUCAUAUCUACAAUAAAGA